UACGUAGGGGGGCUAGCGUUGUCCGGAAUCAUUGGGCGUAAAGAGCGUGUAGGCGGUCCGGUAAGUCCGCUGUGAAAGUCGGGGGCUCAACCCUCGAAUGCCGGUGGAUACUGUCGGGCUAGAGUACGGAAGAGGCGAGUGGAAUUCCUGGUGUAGCGGUGAAAUGCGCAGAUAUCAGGAGGAACACCAAUUGCGAAGGCAGCUCCGCUGGGACGUUACUGACGCUGAGACGCGAAAGCGUGGGGAGCAAACAGG
rnacentral:rRNA from 1 species